UUAAAUUGAAGAGUUUGAUCAUGGCUCAGAUUGAACGCUGGCGGCAGGCCUAACACAUGCAAGUCGAACGGUAGCAGGAAGAAG
rnacentral:rRNA from 1 species